AUACGAAGGUCCCAAGCGUUAUUCGGAAUCACUGGGCGUAAAGAGUACGUAGGCGGUUUGGUAAGUCAGGUGUGAAAUCCCGAAGCUCAACUUCGGAACUGCAUCCGAUACUGCCAGACUAGAGUAAUGGAGAGGCAGGUGGAAUUCUCGGUGUAGCAGUGAAAUGCGUGAAUAUCGAGAGGAAGACCAAUGGCGAAGGCAGCCUGCUGGACAUUUACUGACGCUGAGGUACGAAGGCUAGGGGAGCGAAAGGGAUUAGAAACCCCGGUAGUCC
rnacentral:rRNA from 1 species